rnacentral:rRNA from 1 species
GGACCUGACUGCUAUCGGAUUUGAUACUAAGCCAUGUGAGUCAUUGUAGCAAUACAAGGCAGACGGCUCAGUAACACGUAGCCAACCUACCCUAUGGACGGGGAUAACCUCGGGAAACUGAGGAUAAACCCCGAUAGAUCAUUAUACCUGGAACGGUUUAUGGUCCAAAUGAUUCGUCGCCGUAGGAUGGGACUGCGGCCUAUCAGCUUGUUGGUGAGGUAAUGGCCCACCAAGGCUAUUACAGGUACGGGCUCUGAGAGGAGAAGCCCGGAGAUGGGUACUGAGACACGGACCCAGGCCCUAUGGGGCGCAGCAGGCGAGAAAACUUUGCAAUGUGCGCAAGCACGACAAGGUUAAUCCGAGUGAUUCCUGCUAAAGGAAUCUUUUGCUAGUCCUAAAAACACUAGCGAAUAAGGGGUGGGCAAGUUCUGGUGUCAGCCGCCGCGGUAAAACCAGCACCUCAAGUGGUCAGGAGGAUUAUUGGGCCUAAAGCAUCCGUAGCCUGCUCUGUAAGUUUCCGGUUAAAUCCAUUAGCUCAACUGAUGGGCCGCCGGAAAAACUGCAAAGCUAGGGAGUGGGAGAGGUAGACGGUACUCGGUAGGAAGGGAUAAAAUCCUUUGAUCUAUUGAUGACCACCUGUGGCGAAGGCGGUCUACCAGAACACGUUCGACGGUGAGGGAUGAAAGCUGGGGGAGCAAACCGGAUUAGAUACCCGGGUAGUCCCAGCUGUAAACGAUGCAGACUCGGUGAUGCCCUGGCUUGUGGCCAGUGCAGUGCCGCAGGGAAGCCGUUAAGUUUGCCGCCUGGGAAGUACGUACACAAGUAUGAAACUUAA